rnacentral:rRNA from 1 species
GACGAACGCUGGCGGCGUGCUUAACACAUGCAAGUCGAACGGUAAGGCCCUUCGGGGUACACGAGUGGCGAACGGGUGAGUAACACGUGGGUGAUCUGCCCUGCACUUCGGGAUAAGCCUGGGAAACUGGGUCUAAUACCGGAUAGGACCACUGCCUGCAUGGGUGGUGGUGGAAAGCUUUUGCGGUGUGGGAUGGGCCCGCGGCCUAUCAGCUUGUUGGUGGGGUGAUGGCCUACCAAGGCGACGACGGGUAGCCGGCCUGAGAGGGCGACCGGCCACACGGGGACUGAGAUACGGCCCAGACUCCUACGGGAGGCAGCAGUGGGGAAUAUUGCACAAUGGGCGCAAGCCUGAUGCAGCGACGCCGCGUGAGGGAUGACGGCCUUCGGGUUGUAAACCUCUUUCAGCACCGACGAAGCGCAAGUGACGGUAGGUGCAGAAGAAGGACCGGCCAACUACGUGCCAGCCGCCGCAGUAA